UGUGCUGUAUGGACCAUGUAAGCCUGAGUGGCUGAAGAAUUAUUUCCAGCAAUGGAGAGAGUUCUCACUAGAGAAUGAAGCCAAAUAACUGAAAACAGAGGUGAAAGGUUUGAGUUACUGGUAACCAGCUGUGGUCCAGAAGCAGGUGAUCCUCCUUGUGAUGUAUCAUCAGAAGGCCAAUAUAGCCUAAUGCUGUAUCACAAUGCAUGUGUCUUUUACCUCACUUCAUCAGAAAAAAGAAAAGAAGAAGAAAAAUAUGCUACCAUGGUAUACCUCCUGACCUAGAGUGACACCCUUAUAAAUCAUGACAUCAUGAACAGAAAACUAGCAGUGGUUUCAACUCCAAACUCCAAACUGGAAGUCUUGUAGCUGAUCCUCUACAUUUGGCUGCUGAUUUGUAACUGAGCUGCUUCUCACAUGGACAAUUAUAUAUAUAUACAUUGUGCUCCACAGGUUGAGAGACUUGCUUAUUUAAUGAUGGUUAAUAAUGUUCUCAAGGAAAACCAGGGAUUCCAAGAUGAAUGUCUGGUUUGCCUAUUUCAUAGAGGAUACUAUUGAGAAAAUACUGAUCAGGAAGGAGUGAGGGAAUCUCUGCAUACAGG